rnacentral:tRNA from 1 species
GUUGCCUGUAGCUUAAACCUAAAGUAUAGCACUGAAAAUGCUAAGAUGGUACAACCCUUCAACAA